UGGGGAAUUUUGGACAAUGGGCGCAAGCCUGAUCCAGCCAUGCCGCGUGCAGGAUGAAGGUCUUCGGGUUGUAAACUGCUUUUGUACGGAACGAAAAGACUCCUUCUAAUAAAGGGGGUCCAUGACGGUACCGUAAGAAUAAGCACCGGCUAACUACGUGCCAGCAGCCGCGGUAAUACGUAGGGUGCAAGCGUUAAUCGGAAUUACUGGGCGUAAAGCGUGCGCAGGCGGUUAUGCAAGACAGAGGUGAAAUCCCCGGGCUCAACCUGGGACCUGCAUUUGUGACUGUAUAGCUAGAGUACGGUAGAGGGGGAUGGAAUUCCGCGUGUAGCAGUGAAAUGCGUAGAUAUGCGGAGGAACACCGAUGGCGAAGGCAAUCCCCUGGACCUGUACCGACGCUCAUGCACGAAAGCGUGGGGAGCAAACA
rnacentral:rRNA from 1 species